UGCAGUCAACGGUAAGGCCCCAGCUUGCUGGGGUACACGAGUGGCGAACGGGUGAGUAACACGUGGGUGACCUGCCCCGCACUUCGGGAUAAGCCUGGGAAACUGGGUCUAAUACCGGAUAGGACCGCACCGUGAGGGUGUGGUGGAAAGUUUUUCGGUGUGGGAUGGGCCCGCGGCCUAUCAGCUUGUUGGUGGGGUAAUGGCCUACCAAGGCGGCGACGGGUAGCCGGCCUGAGAGGGUGGACGGCCACAUUGGGACUGAGACACGGCCCAGACUCCUACGGGAGGCAGCAGUGGGGAAUAUUGCACAAUGGGCGGAAGCCUGAUGCAGCGACGCCGCGUGGGGGAUGACGGCCUUCGGGUUGUAAACUCCUUUCACCAUCGACGAAGGUUUUCUGACGGUAGAUGGAGAAGAAGCACCGGCUAACUACGUGCCAGCAGCCGCGGUAAUACGUAGGGUGCGAGCGUUGUCCGGAAUUACUGGGCGUAAAGAGCUCGUAGGUGGUUUGUCGCGUCGUCUGUGAAAUUCCGGGGCUUAACUCCGGGCGUGCAGGCGAUACGGGCAUAACUUGAGUACUGUAGGGGAGACUGGAAUUCCUGGUGUAGCGGUGAAAUGCGCAGAUAUCAGGAGGAACACCGGUGGCGAAGGCGGGUCUCUGGGCAGUAACUGACGCUGAGGAGCGAAAGCAUGGGUAGCGAACAGGAUUAGAUACCCUGGUAGUCCAUGCCGUAAACGGUGGGCGCUAGGUGUAGGGGUCUUCCACGACUUCUGUGCCGUAGCUAACGCAUUAAGCGCCCCGCCUGGGGAGUACGGCCGCAAGGCUAAAACUCAAACGAAUUGACGGGGGGCCCGCACAGCGGCGGAGC
rnacentral:rRNA from 1 species